AGCCGUAUUCACCAUCCCGAAUUUGUAGAUCGUCAAUCAAAAGGAAAACACAGAUUUCUAGCACUCGGAAGAAAGCGAAAAACAUAAACAAUCCUUAACAUUACUGUCCAUGUAUAUUUAGAUAACUUUUAAAAAUAUAUCUAUAAAGCUUUACACUGUAACAGUCAGAUUCCGGUAAUAGUUACAAGGCUGUGACGUCACACUCGAGUAGGCCGUCUGACGCGUCUGACGUAUGCAAGACAGCGAAUGUGAAAGUACAUAGAAACUCUACAGACUGAUGAGAAUUACUUUAGACGGGGUACGUCAACGAAUAGGCACGACAGCGAAAAUACGGAAGUCACUUCGGGGACGUGUCGCAGAAUCGCAUAACUCUACACGAGAUUAAAAGAAAGAAAGAAAAGACAAUGAAGACAACCAUGUAAAAACAAAUUCAAUCAAUUAAAUUAUCAGCAGAUUGAAA